CCUUUUUUUUUUUUUUUUUGGCGGUUGGGAGAGUGGUCUGGUCAAUCCAGCAUAGAAAUUUUCCAUGGGAAAAAAGAAUCAACCUAAAGCUCCGAGAAAUCAUAAACUAUGUAGUAAAACUUGUUAAAUUAUCAAAGGGAAGAAAAUUCAUAAACUUCUUGAAUGCCUUUGACCGCCCUUUCCACUUCAAAAAAAAUAAGAACAGCAGAGUCAAAAUAAUGUAGCAACAAAUAAAUCUGGGUGGAAUGCGUAAACAGUAAACCACCAAAAAGGUAAAAGAGAUGCAAUCCAGCUUCUGUUUCCUAGCUUUCAAAUUAUGAAAACUUAACCAAAGAAGGUGUUUAAAAAAUAAUGGCUACAAAAAGAGGACUCGCGAGCCAGAAACUUUCGGCGAGGCAGAAACGUUCGGCUUACCAUAUGGAAUCUUAAAUCUGCCCUCUAUAUAUACAAAAAGACGAGAAAAGUUUUAACUUUUACGAAAGCUGACAUAAACUUAAAAAUUAAAAAAAUAAUAAUAAAA
rnacentral:misc_RNA from 1 species